AUGGCUCAGGAUGAACGCUGGCGGCGCGCCUAACACAUGCAAGUCGAACGGUUAAAGCCCCUUCGGGGGUGCAUAAAGUGGCGAACGGCUGAGUAACACGUGGGCAACCUGCCCCCCGCUUCGGGAUAGCCUCGGGAAACCGUGGGUAAUACCGGAUACUCCGCCCACCCCGCAUGGGGAGGGCGGGAAAGCGCAUACGGCGGGGGAUGGGCCCGCGGCCUGUUAGCUCGUUGGCGGGGUAACGGCCCACCAAGGCUAUUAUGGGUAGCCGGGUUGAGAGACCGACCGGCCAGAUUGGGACUGAGACACGGCCCAGACUCCUACGGGAGGCAGCAGUGGGGAAUCUUGCACAAUGGGCGAAAGCCUGAUGCAGCCGACGCCGCGUGCGGGAUGAAGGCCCUCGGGUUGUAAACCGCUUUCAGCAGGGACGAGGCGCAAGUGACGGUACCUGCAGAAGAAGCCCCGGCUAACUACGUGCCAGCAGCCGC
rnacentral:rRNA from 1 species